UACGAAGGGGGCUAGCGUUGCUCGGAAUCACUGGGCGUAAAGCGCACGUAGGCGGGUUCUUAAGUCAGGGGUGAAAUCCUGGAGCUCAACUCCAGAACUGCCUUUGAUACUGGGAAUCUCGAGUCCGGGAGAGGUGAGUGGAACUGCGAGUGUAGAGGUGAAAUGCGUAGAGAUCCGGAGGAACACCAGAGGCGAAGGCGGCCUACUGGGUCAGUACUGACGCUGAGCCGCGAAAGCCAGGGGAGCGAACGGG
rnacentral:rRNA from 1 species